ACCCCAACCCCCUGUGUUAGGCAGUUAUUAGGUCUAGUGCUUUUCCGUUUGGGGGCACAACCCCCUGGCAAGAGAGUUCAUCUGUUGUUGGAGAGACUCAAGGCUGUCAGUAGUGGAUGUCAUUGCCUGAUCGAGCUUGUCUCAAAAAUCCCCUGCCAGGUGAUGGGUCUGUACAAUGGCAGCAGUCACCACGUCUCCAGCACCCAAAGAGAGAGGGUGAGUCCAAGAGGAGGGCAGCUUUUUCUUCCUCAAACAGAGUCACGCGAGCCAUCUUUUUUGUGGGCAGGGGGAUGCUGGACAUUUCUGGCUGGAACCCAGAUAGGCUUUGAUUGAUCCUGUGGAAAAACACAAGCAAAUCCUCUCCCUGUGGUCAGUAAUGGAUCUGGUCCUUUCCGGAUUCCACUGAGGGGGUCCCCCCCAUUUAACCAUGGUAUGAACUGAAGAUCCCUCGAAAGCAACAUCUAUGUUGAAGAUUCUUAAGACUGAGUAGAACUUGGUGAUCAUGGAGAGGUGGAAUGCUGCAGGCUGAGCAGCAAAAUUAUCUUGGACCGUAGUUAGUCUCCUUAACAGCUGUGGGAAGCGAGCACAGCUGAGUCAGCCAGAUGGCGCCCUGGCUGGCUGCCAAACCUCGUGCUGUUUACUC